rnacentral:rRNA from 1 species
AACGCACCUUGCGCUCCCCGGUAUUCCAGGGAGCACACCUGUUCGAGUGUCGUGAAUUCUCAAGCUAGAUGCUUUUUCUUAAUCGCAAAAGCUAUCUUAGUUUGGUUGUUGGGCUUUGCCGUGCCCUUUUAUUAGGGAACGGCUGGCCUUAAAAGCAUUAGCUGGCCCUUUCGUAGCAUUGGUUCUACUCAGCGUGAUAAUAAAUUCUGACCGCUGAGGACAUCUUUCGGGAUGGCCAAUUCUUGCUUGGGUUGCUUCGAGUCCUGGUUUACAGAUGUCUGAAUCUGUUCCACUCUCAAGUUUGACCUCGAAUCAGGUGGGACUACCCGCUGAACUUA